rnacentral:rRNA from 1 species
AUGUUAUCAACUUUAGAGGGGGUUCAACCCGUGUUUAUCCCUGCUGUCUGGAAAUUGAGAGUUCCCCCUAAAAUUCAUGUAUUUCUCUGACUUCUCUCCAAAAACAAAUUGAUGACUAGGGAUAACCUUAGGAAGAGACAAAUCAUCAAACCUCUUGAUUGUGUUUACAGCUUGGAACAAGACUCUUGUUCUCACCUAUUUUUUGAAUGUAUAGUUGCUAAACAUCUCUGGGCCCACAUUGAGAAAUAUUUCUCUAGUCAGAUUGGCUCAUCCUUCGAAUCUGUCGCCAGAUUCUGGAUUGCUACCAAAAAGUGCUCAGUUUUAAACAUUGUUAGCUCAACUGUCCUUUGGUGCCUCUGGAAAUAUAGAAAUGCUAUGAUUUUCAGUAACACCUCCUGGAUUUCCAUUCUGCAGGUCUUAAGGUUGAUCAGGAACAUGGUGAGGAACUGGGCGAUUCUCUCCUCCGGAUCGGACAAGGACAAGUUGACGAGCUUCGUGGAAACCCUAACAAGAUCCCUCCAGAAACCGUUGGCGAUCACUUGUGGCUGA